rnacentral:sRNA from 1 species
AGGUCGGGGCAGACAAUCCAUCUCCCUGUUGCAGCGUGGGUGGGUUAGGGCCGUUCCGCUCGUCCCUCUUUCGAGGAGGGACUUCGCUUCACUCUCCUUGAAGAAACCAAGUUUGCGGUUACGUAUAUGAUAACCUAGAAGCAUCAGCUUCUGAGGGUGUCAUUCAUUGCAUGUGGUUGUUGAAAACAAGCCAGUCCAAAUAUGUGAUGGUGAAUCUGGACAAUCUAAGAAGUCACAGUCAUCUAAGAACAUUGAUAGUGAUGGUGAUGGUGAUGAGGAUUGGUCACGGAUUUCUUAGUUGCUGUCGAGAAUAGCUACUUUCAGAAGCAAAUUGAUAGACAAAUGGCAGAGGAAGACGGAGGUGACCACAGGCACUGCUGAUAUUAAAAGCAAGCCGCAUGCUUUUUAAUCAGAAUAUUAGUGAACAAGUUGCUUCUUAUAUAAAAGACCCAAGCAAAAUGGUUGGGCAGAUGCAGAUGUGGACAUUAGCAGUUGCUGUAUUUGGCACUGUGACACAAUAUGAUGCUGUUGCACAAGCUGAUGGUGGCCCUGAACUUUUGGAUGACUCUUGAGUUAUACCAGACAUUACUGAAAGAAUUUUUUGAGACAAUUGACCCAGCAUCUUCUGGGGCUUUUAUAUCUCAAGCGGUUAAGCACUUAGCUCUGAACCCGAAGUUUUGAAGGCAGAAAACAUCUUGAAAACAAGGAGGGAAUCCAAAGAUGUCUGUAUCAAGUAAAAUUACAAACUCAUGGAUGGCUUGUGGACUAUUGUCGCUUCUUUUUCUGGG